rnacentral:sRNA from 1 species
GCUGAGAAAAACCCGUUGAACCUGAACCAGUUUGUACUGGCGUAGGGAGCAAAG